ACUCAUUCAUUUAUUUUGAGGACCACAACAGUUUCUAUACCUUUUAUUUGCGCUUGCUGCCUUCUAUUUUUACCUCUCACGAUAUUUGUUGAAAAAAAUGGAAAAGGUAGUGGUUGGAGCAAACAAUGAAACGUUUUAAACGAGAAGAUUGGCAAGCUUGGAUACACCAAAAAACAAGAAGAGAGACAUUUUCGAAGAGUAAUUAUGUUAGAGGUUGAAACACCUAUGAUGAACAUGAUUGUUAGUGGAGUUGCAGCCCGUCCAUUUGUAACUCAUCACAAUGAACUUAGCAUGAAGUUAUUCAUGAGGAUUGCUCCGAAACUGUACCUUAAGCAAUUAAUUGUUGGAGGGUUGGAUGGUGUUUAUGAAAUUUGGUCAUUUACUAUUUUGUUACAUGUCUAAUUAUUUCCUUCAUUUGAUUGUUUGUCCUGGUAAUAAGUAAAUAAGUAAUUAUUAAUAUUUUUCUUGUGUUAUAUCUAAGUUGAAUAACUUCAUUUUCUUCUAGGCCUCAUAUAUCCUUCCAUCUAAUUUUGAAAAGGUGGCAGCUGGAGUAUUGAUGGUGCUGAACAAUGUGGCUUUUUUGGAUCUUGUAUUUUUGCAACAAAUGUUGGCUAGGCCAGAUUUGAAAAUGAAAAUUUUCCAUUUAAUGAGCUUCCUUCUCUCUCAAUGUGCCAACAAGUAGAAAGCUCCUAAUGAUCAGGUGAAUCUCUAACAACUUAGGACUAUUUUGUCAUUUAACUUCUUUGUUUUUUUUUAGUUUCCUGAUUUUAAAGAUUUUUCUAAGAAAUUUUUGAAAAUGGGUAAUAAAAUUGAAGCAUGGUGACUUUUUUUAUUAUAUUUAUUGUGAAAAUUAAAAUAGAAAUAGAAAAAAAAUUCUUUUAAACUAAGUAGGGCCUUAGAUAUCUAAUGUGUCUAUUUGAAUAGCCAAAACAAAAUUUAGUUUUUUUAUCAUGUGGAAUAGUAUAAUGAUAUAUAAUGAUCACUUCAUUUACUUGUGACUAAACUUUUACAAAUGAACAUGAUGUUUCUAACACACAUCCAAUUUUACAUUAAUUUGUCGGUUAAACCUUUGUUGAGAAAAUGGAAAAGAGUCAUUGAAGAGUUGCUAGAUCCUCAAGUCAAGUGCAAUUCGAGUUACACGGAUCAAGUGGCUCGCAUGAUUGAUGUUGUAGUUGCCUAUGUUACAAGUGAAGAAUAUAGGAGACCUAGCAUAGGUGAGAUUGUUGCAAUAUUGAAAGGUGAAGUAGAGCUUGUUCUCUCUAGAAGAAGGAAGUCUAGUUAUUUUGGCAAUGGAUAUGUGAUUGAUUAUUACCAUCAAUUACAAGAAACAAAUAAUGAGAUGAAAAGUCAAUUGGCUUUGACAAUGCUAAGAGUUCUAGAGUGUGAGGAUGAUGAUUUUCUCUAUGGUCAUUGAGAAUUAUUUUUGCCAUGAUUCUAACAAUAAUGUAAGGAUUACAUGUGAAUGUUUUUAAGUUGUUAGUAGAAAUAAAAGCUUCGAAGAAUGUACUUCUUGUUUGUACA